rnacentral:rRNA from 1 species
CUACCAUGCAGUCGAGCGAGGUCCAUCCGGUGGCAACACCGGGGAAGACCUAGCGGCCNNUNGGNGAGUAACACGAUGUAGCAACCUGCCCCGAAGACUGGGAUAACACCGGGAAACCGGUGCUAAAACCGGAUGCCCUCCUCUGGUCGCAUGGCCUAAGGAGGAAAAAGAUUCUGCUUCGGGAGGGGCUCGCGGGCUAUCAGCUUGUUGGUGGGGUAACGGCUCACCAAGGCGACGACGGCUAGCUGGUCUGAGAGGACGACCAGCCACACUGGGACUGAGACACGGCCCAGACUCCUACGGGAGGCAGCNGUGGGGAAUCUUGCGCAAUGGGCGAAAGCCUGACGCANCAACGCCGCGUGGGGGAUGAAGGCCUUCGGGUUGUAANCCCCUUUCAGCANGGACGAAUCUGANGGUACCUGC